UUACGUGUGUGUGCACAUGCAUGUAUUAUAUAUGUGCAUGUAAUAUAUACGUGCACACAUAUUCAAUGAUAUA
rnacentral:miRNA from 1 species